rnacentral:rRNA from 1 species
GAUGAACGCUGGCGGCGUGCCUAAUACAUGCAAGUCGAGCGAACAGACGAGGAGCUUGCUCCUCUGACGUUAGCGGCGGACGGGUGAGUAACACGUGGAUAACCUACCUAUAAGACUGGGAUAACUUCGGGAAACCGGAGCUAAUACCGGAUAAUAUAUUGAACCGCAUGGUUCAAUAGUGAAAGACGGUUUUGCUGUCACUUAUAGAUGGAUCCGCGCCGCAUUAGCUAGUUGGUAAGGUAACGGCUUACCAAGGCGACGAUGCGUAGCCGACCUGAGAGGGUGAUCGGCCACACUGGAACUGAGACACGGUCCAGACUCCUACGGGAGGCAGCAGUAGGGAAUCUUCCGCAAUGGGCGGAAGCCUGACGGAGCAACGCCGCGUGAGUGAUGAAGGUCUUCGGAUCGUAAAACUCUGUAAUUAGGGAAGAACAAAUGUGUAAGUAACUAUGCACGUCUUGACGGUACCUAAUCAGAAAGCCACGGCUAACUACGUG